rnacentral:rRNA from 1 species
AGCGAACGCUGGCGGCAGGCCUAACACAUGCAAGUCGAACGAACUCUUCGGAGUUUGUGUCGGACGGGUUAGUAACACAUGGGAACGUGCCUUUUGGUUCGGAAUCACUCAGGGAAACUUGUGCUAAUACCGAAUGUUCCCUUAGGGGGAAGGUUUUCUCGCGAUAAGUGCGGCCCGCGUCUGAUUAGCUAGUUGGUGAGGUAACGGAUCACUAAGGCGAGGAUCAGUAGCUGGUCCGUGAGGAUGAACAGCCACACUGGGACUGAGGCACGGCUCAGACUCCUGGGAGAGGCAGCAGUGGUUGAUCCAGCGCAAUGGGCGAAAGCCUGACGCAGCCAUGCCGGGUGAAUGAUGAAGGUCUUAGAAUUGUAAUAUUCUUUCACCGGGGACUAUAAUGACGGUACCCGGAGAAGAAGCCCCGGCUAACUUCGUG